rnacentral:rRNA from 1 species
GACGGGGCUACCCCGAGUGCCGUCCGCUGAGGAUGGCUUUUCCCCGGUGUAAUGAGCCGAGGGAAUAAGGAGAGGGCAAGACUGGUGUCAGCCGCCGCGGUAAUACCAGCUCUCCGAGUGGUAGGGAUGAUUAUUGGGCUUAAAGCGUCCGUAGCCGGCUUAGCAAGUCUCCUGUUAAAUUCAGCGACCUAAUCGUUGAGCCGC